rnacentral:rRNA from 1 species
GAGUAAUGUCUGGGAAACUGCCUGAUGGAGGGGGAUAACUACUGGAAACGGUAGCUAAUACCGCAUAACGUCGCAAGACCAAAGAGGGGGACCUUCGGGCCUCUUGCCAUCGGAUGUGCCCAGAUGGGAUUAGCUAGUAGGUGGGGUAACGGCUCACCUAGGCGACGAUCCCUAGCUGGUCUGAGAGGAUGACCAGCCACACUGGAACUGAGACACGGUCCAGACUCCUACGGGAGGCAGCAGUGGGGAAUAUUGCACAAUGGGCGCAAGCCUGAUGCAGCCAUGCCGCGUGUAUGAAGAAGGCCUUC